CUGUUUGGGGUUUUAGGCUGGGUUUCUGUACAGCACUUUGAGAUAUCAGCUGAUGUACGAAGGGCUAUAUAAAUAAAUUUGAUUUGAUUUGAUUCACCACCAAUGGUUCACUCUGCUCCACCGAAUUCCAAGGCUGGGGCUUCAAGUUGCACUGGGCGGAUGUCAUCCGAUUUACACUCUGAAAACCCUCCAGAGCCAAUCUUUAAUUUUCAUUGUGAAAACACAUGCCCUAGGACACGGUCAGCGGUUCAAACGUACUCUUAACACUUACUCAAGCAAGGAAGCACUGGCUACACAAGCAGAGCAGAAAGUAGUGGGUUUAUAGCAAACACAAAUCCUACCCAAUCAAGGAAGCAUUAGCUAUACAAGCAGAGUGGAAAGUAGUUUGCUUUUAGCAAACACAAAAACCGAUACCAAGAGCCAAAACUCGCAACAUCUAGGGCAGGGGUAUUUAACUCUUACCCUAUGAGGUCCGGAGCCUGCUGGUUUUUCUGUUCUGCCUGAUAAUUAAUUGCACCCACCUGGUGUCUCAGGUCUAAAUCAAUCCCUGACUAGAGGGGAACAAUGAAAAAAAUGCAGUGGAACUGGCUUCGAGGUUCAGGGUUGAGUUUGAGGGCUCUAGGGUGAAGAGUACUCUCUCCUCACUAACAGACACCUAAAUUGGAGCUGAAUCGCAUAGCUAUCGUGUGCUUGAAAUUUUUGUAAAUUGUGUGACACAUUUUUCCUUCAGACGAGCUGAAGCGUAAGGAAUUAAAGAAAUGGAUGCAAGCCCCGGUAUUAUAGACAAGAAGGCGGGGCUUCAGAGGUCGGGCUCGGCAUCCAUUGGCCUGUUGGGCGUGAUUUCAGUUUGCUUCAGGUGAAUAGGAUUGGUCAUUGACUCCCCAUAGGAUGUUAUACCGAUUGACCAACUGAAAGAGAACUUUGACCUGUGAAAAUCGAACAUUUGGAAUUGUAUUUUCACGUGAAAAACUUUCAAAUGUCACGCGCAGUUUCAUGGUAUCACAUGUUGAAAUGUUGUAUCCCCAUGUUGUCACAUUUAUUUCACAAGAUCAUGUUUUCACGUGUAGUUUCAUGUUGUCACGUUUCUUUUACAUAUUGUUACGUUAUCACAUUAACUUCCCAUAAGAUCAUGUUAAACAUGUUUAACUCGUGAUCACCUGAAAUUCAUGUGUUUUUUUUCUGUAAGAGCGUUAACAUAAGUGACUAUUUCAUUGCGGGGCCUGUAGUAAGUGUCACACAAACACACACACAAACCCCAAACAGGGAUAGGAUUAAGUCGCUUCUAGACUAAGGUAACCAUGAUCUAAAGUCAGUCUUCCACUUUUCUCUGGUUAAUAUUAGGAGUUGGGGAAUGUAGACUGAUCUUAGUUCAGUGCCUAAGGGCAGCUGCUACCCAGAGAGACUCACCCUGGGUUUAUCUGGACAGUCUCAGGACAUUCUGAGGGGUCAAAUGUCCCCAAGCCUAAAUUCAACCACCUCCUCAUGCUCUACCGCCUUCUCUCCUCCUUCAUGCCCCAUUGUUCUGUCCUCCACUUCGUGUCUUUCUCCACUUGUCUCUCAGCUAAUGUUUCAUCCUCCUCUUCUUCUUCUCUACUCUCUGGCAAUGGUUUCUUCUCCCCCAUUCUCCAUUUGCUCCACGUGCUUCUACACCUGCAUUGCUUGCUGUUUGGGGUUUUAGGCUGGGUUUCUGUACAGCAGUUUGUGACAUCAGGUGAUGCAAGAAGGGUUUUAUAAAUACAUUUGAUUGAUUUGGUGUGCUCUCACUGACAACUCUUUGUCAAUCCCUCUUUAUUCCAGAUUACACUGGUCUGUAUGGCUCUCUUUCUGCACUGUCUGUGUGACUUGAUGGGUUGUCCUUUCUUCACUGUCUGUGUGACUUGAUGGGUUGUCCUUUCUUCACUGUCUGUGUGACUUGAUGGGUUAUUACGGUUGUCCUUUCUUCACUGUCUGUGUGACUUGAUGGGUUAUUACGGUUUUCCUUUCUUCACUGUCUGUGUGACUUGAUGGGUUAUCACGGUUGUCCUUUCUUCACUGUCUGUGUGACUUGAUGGGUUUUCACGGUUGUCCUUUCUUCACUGUCUGUGUGACUUGAUGGGUUUUCACGGUUGUCCUUUCUUCACUGUCUGUGUGACUUGAUGGGUUUUCACGGUUGUCCUUUCUUCACUGUCUGUGUGACUUGAUGGGUUUUCACGGUUGUCCUUUCUUCACUGUCUGUGUGACUUGAUGGGUUUUCACGGUUGUCCUUUCUUCACUGUCUGUGUGACUUGAUAGGUUAUUACGGUUGUCCUUUCUUCACUGUCUGUGUGACUUGAUAGGUUAUCACGGUUGUCCUUUCUUCACCUGGUGCACAGAGCCAGUGCAUUUGUGUGAUAAUCCAUCCCUCGCACACCCUCAGUGUCAGUGACUCGUACAGAUUAGGUCAAUCUCAGGUUGGUAAUCUCAGCUAAUCCCCAAAUUAAAUACGGACACAGCGGAUACAGGAGGUACAAAAAAAAUAGAGGGAGAGUAGGAGAGUUGAAAUGAUAGAAAAGAAGAAAGAUAUGAAAGGGAGUAGAGAAAAAGUAAAAGGACGUGAUCGACAGAGUUUUAGAGGGAACCUUUUUGUUUUUUUUACUGUUUGUUCAAACAACGUAAUUUACACAUCCUGUACACGUAUGUUCAUAAAUUCAUCAUCUAUGGAAAAUUAUUUGACAGAAUUGAACAAAAUUCCCCUAAUCUGCACGGGAUGAUUUUUUAGUCAAGCAGGCAUUAUGAAUAAUUACAUUAUGAGAUAAGUGUUUGACAUCCCUGUUGACCUCAAUGGCAAAAACGAUCAUUACAGACUUGAAUGCUAUCUGUCAUUUUUCUCACCAAACGUCCGCUUAACACUUUGAAUCUGUAAUGUAUGAAAUGAAUUGAGUCAACAGGAAGCGGGGUGUAGUUCAUGUUUUUAUUCCAAACUGCCGUCUGAGGGGACUGAGCAAUGGAGGAUGGAGGCAGGGCCAUGUCAUACCACAUCAUCAUACCACAUCCUGCCUCACCCUCCAACUUGCACCUUAUGGCUCUUGUUGGCAUGGUAAUCAAACGGACCGUUUCCUCAUGUCAACUUCGAAUGGGUGGCUUCUGGUUUGAGGUAUCCCAUGGGGCCAUAGGGCAGGGUGCUAUGACGAGUGUUGCUGCAGAAGAGGAAAUCAAGAGUAAAGGGGAAGAGGCAGUGAGAUGAGAAAGCUGGACAAUUAGACAUGAUGAGAUUGACUCUGAUUUCCCUCACCAUGUGCCUUCCUCACCUCCUCGCCACUCUUGUCUUCCAUUCUACCACUGCGGCUUCACCAAGCGCCACAGAAACAACAACAACAGCUCUAGACCUUAGUAUCAGCACUACAACAUCAGACCCCCUGAUACUUCCACUCUCCACAACUGAAAACCACCCUGGUAGGACUAGUGGCAUGUUCAACACACAAGUGAAGAAAAGCGCUAGCUUAGCAGCUGUCAACAAAUCAGGUAGAACGACUCAAGGAAGAGGCAUUCUCAGAACAGGAACUGCCACUUACGCCACCACAGCCGUACAGAAGAACAACAGGCACAUAACUGCAGGAGACUUGAGGAGGGAAACAGAGAGCCACAAUCACCAUGAGACUCUUCCCUUCAGCAGACACAAAGUCUCACCCACAACUGACCACCCCAGCACCACCUCUCUCCCCGGGGAGGAAGGGAAUGAGUAUCAUGACAGCAGCACCACUGAAACAGCCAGAGAACAGAGCACACCAAAUUCCAUAGAGACAUGGGCUGCUGACACCAUUAAUGACUCCAGGCUAGCAAAGCCACACUUAGACAGGUCACAAGCAGCAGACCAGCACACUGCUACACAAGGACUAGAGAUUGCAUCAGGAGAUUACUACACAACACAGAGAGACUUCUUCACAAACACCCCAACUAGUAGCGUGACAGGUUUGAACAGGGGUAAACAAAGUAAGGCCAACAGCUUCACAACAACAACAACAACGUUUUCACCUACGUACACAGUCACACAUCCUGGUUUGCAUGAGCACAUGACUGUGACUUACAGGGCUACCGGCUACAAAACACAACCUGACGACACAAGCCAGUCUAUGGCCAACCAGGACCACACCACAGCCACAGUUUCAAUCCCCCAUGCUGACAAUAGCACAGCUCCAUAUAUCAAUGCAAACACGUUUACAGAUAAUGACACAGACAACUACACAAACACACUUUCAUACAGUAAUACCACAACCUCUAAUAAUCGUAACACCACAGUACUUUUGAAGAAGAAAACACAUUCAUUCAGACACAACCACACAAUCUCAGGCUAUGACAACAGGCUGAACAACACAACUGAAAACACUGUGCAUCAUCGUCCUGAGUGCGGAGAGGCAGACGAAAGGUCCCCAUCGUUGCUUCCUGGCUCUACUAGACUGGUCUGUUUCAUUGUUCUGUGUGCUCUGGGAUUGACUGCUUCUGUCUUCCUUGGGCUCACUGUCUUCCUGUGGGUGCGUUUGUCAGUCCAGAGAGAGAGGGAAAAGAGAGUGAGGAGAGGAGGAGAGGAGGUGUCAGGGGUGGAUCUGGAGAACCUGUGGGUUGACCAGAUGUCAUCGGUGGAGGAGAGGGUGGAAUUCUGGUACGCCAACGGCUCCACCAUGGGACCCGGCCAUAAACGGAGGGAGAGAGGGAGAGAGAGGGGGAAGGAGAGGGGGAGGAGGGAGCAGGGGAGGCAGAAAGGGGUAGAGUGUGACAACCUGUGGACUCAACCCAAAGUGACACUGGAGGACAUCACUGAUUUCUGGUAUGCAAAUGGAAGACCGAUACCAGAAGAAACUACAGACCAAACGUUGUUGGAGACCUGCGUAUGAUUCUGUUUUUUUGUACUACAGUCCUACAAUUUCCCUGGAAUUACUUUGGAGAGAAAUGUUCAUCGUUAUUUUACCAAUUCCAUGGCAGAUUUGAACACUGUAAUCCUGACCGAGUUUAAACAUUUCCAAAAUGAAUUGGUAAUCUGUAUGUUUAUUGGCUGUAACAAAAGUAUAAGUAUAUGAUCUAAAUAAGUCUGCUGAAAGAUAGAUUAAGCCUGGGUCUGAACAGAGAGAAAGAAGAGGACAGAGAGAGAGAGAGAGAAGGAGAGAGAGGAAUAGAAAGAGAGUUUAGAACAACAUGUCUAACUGGAAAUAACACUUGAUAAGAGAAGUUUCCAUUUUAAGACAAUUCAGACCCCGUUAGAGACACAUCAUCACCGUGUGUCAGACAGCAAUGAGGAGAUAGGUGACAUUUCUACAAACACACGGACACAAAUACGGUUGAUUCCUAAUACUGUACAUGCACUGUUAUUAGGAGCUAGUCAAAUCAUUUUUAUUUAUUUUUUAUUUUACCUUUAUUUAACCAGGUAGGCUAGUUGAGAACAAGUUCUCAUUUACAACUGCUACCUGGCCAAGAUAAAGCAUAGCAGUGUGAACAGACAACAACACAGAGUUACACAUGGAGUAAACAAUAAACAAUAAAACAUAGUAUACCGUCUACGAUCAGCAUAUCCCAGGCAUUUUAACUGGAUCAGCAUAUCCCAGGCAUUUUAACUGGGUUUCUCAUAACCGGGACACAAGCUUAUUUGGGUUAUUGUAAACGGGAUAUGAUGCUAAUACGCGUCAACUAACAAACGGAAUACUAGAAUAUCCCAAAUAGUGAUGGAAUAUUGGUGUGCCUGUGAACAUGGUAACUUAUCAGGAAUCAACUAUAGGUCUACCUCACAAUUAAUAGUGGAUCCGGCCAUUUGAUCAAUAAUGUAUAACUGUAAUGUUUAAUACAGUAGAAAAUACACCCUUGUAGAAUUUAACACCUAACCAGCUGAAGUUUGACAUAUAACGUCCCAAGACAUGAGAUGUAUUUUUUAAUUACAUAAUCAAAUGGAAUUUAUCAUCAUACUCUCUCUACUUUGAAUUCUCAUGUUUUGACAACCUACGCCCUUUGACUGCCUGCUCCCCACACACACACACACACACACACCGUCAAACAAACACACAUCCAAGUAGGCCUGUGUGUAGGCGUGCAAACACACUCUGGCUCAAACAUUUCAACACACACACCUUCUCUUUGUAGGACCAACUUCUCAUUUUUCCUCGAGAAAAUAAGCACAUGACGCAAUAAACAAAAUGAAGCUACUCUUAAGUUAUUUGGCAUCUCUCCAACCCCACCUCUUUUGCAGUUAACAAAACUGUUUUACGAAGAAUUUGAUACUCUGAGGGGAAGAGAAAGGGAGGGGGAGAGAAAGAAGGGAGUGAACAGGAGGGAGCGAGCGAGCGAGAGAAAGGUGUUUUGGACAUGUACUAGUGCACGAGAUGUCAUUCACACAGUACAGGAGUUAAAGCAUGUGCCUUUAAGGUGGAUUCACAAUUUCAAUCCACUCGUUUUCUCCAUGCAACAUGUGGGUGUGUACUAAAGCAAACAUUUGACAUCUACAGCGGUUCAGACAGUGGAUGCUGUGAGGAGGUCUCAUGCUUUUUUUAGUUCACUGUCGCUGGCAUCUCUCACGCUACCCUUGAAAUAGACAGCUGAUACACAGAAAAGUAGAGUGAAGUGCAGGGGAGGAGGAAAGCUGAAGUGCGAGAGAGGAAGAGAAGGGCUGUGUCUUUCCGGUCUAUUUGCACCCAAGGACACCCUAGUGAACAACAAGCCCCAGCAACCAGGAGAGACAGCAAGAGAACAAAAGUUUGACUAUGUAAGAGCACUUCAUAUGCCUAACACUCAGUCAAACCUUAGAUUAUCAACAAAGGCAAGGCCUGAAAGAAAGGGGAAUUCCGAGAGCAGUGAAGAUCAAAGCCUGACACACAAUCGUAGUCAGACCAAGAACCCCAGUACCUGAUGACGGAUACUGCUUUUCUUUUCUAGAGUGUACAUUUUUCUGCUCUAGACUUGUAAAACAAACCUCCAAUAUCUUUCAAGCCACAACACUGUCGCUGAUGCACCUCAGAAAGAGGAAGACAAACGUAAUCUGAGAGAUCAGCAAAACCCUUUAGGGACGGUUGACCUCUGUGACCCCUCUCACUUCUUGCCCAGUAUGGAGCGGAUCCGGCUGAUGCUUGGGGCUCUGCUCCUCUCCCUCUCUCUGCCCAGUCUCCCUGCUCAAGAUAAUGUCACUGUCACUGUACCUGAGAAUGUCACCAUGGCAGCACCUAUUAAUGAGGAAGUCACGAUGGCAGCCUCUACACCGGAGGCCACCAUAGAGACAACGUCUGUUCCUGUGGUCAUCACUAGGGCACAGCCUGCCCCUGAAAUUAUCACCCCGGUAACUGCUAUUCCGAAAGUAACUUCUGUUUCAGUACCUACCACUGAUGCCAUCACUAUGGUAAUAACAAACCCUGAGAUCACCAGCGUUCAGGAGUCCACAUCUGAUGCACCAACUACUACUUCAGAGGCUGAGAUGAUGAAACCUUCCCCUGUGACCAUUGAAGGGCCUAUAGACACGACCACUCCACCUGGCCCUAAAUCCACCCUGUCCCAAGACGUCCUUACAACCACCUCUUAUCUCCCAACCACUUCCCAGGACCACCUGACUUCUGUUAUCCCAGUCUGGCCCCUCCACACCACCCCUCGUCUGACGGAGGACUCCACUUACACACCUGAACCUACACCUGCCUCAGAGAUUACUGUCUGCCACACAGAGGGACUUACCACUGCACCCACCUCCCCAUCGGUCAAUGCCGCCCCCGGCCAUUCCACGACCCCCACUACCACCCACACCUCCACAGAUCCAGACUCUACGGUGGCUGGGGUCAGAGUGGAGACAGGUCAGCCCAGCUUGUUAUGGGUCAUCAUCGUCGCUCUCCUGAUCGGGGUUAUAUUCGCGGGCGUGGUCUACUGUGUAUGUCUGGUCAUCAGACGAAAGAGGCAGAGCCGCACCGAGCACUUUGUGUCCAGCUUCCGGAACGGGAAGAGUUCCAAGCGGAAGAAAGGGCCGGAGGAAGACGCCUGGGCAGGGCCAGUGAAGCUAGGGGGUGGGGACAGGGAGGAGGAUGAGGGUGGGGAGGAGGGAGGGAGCCCAGAGGACAACAAGAGAGAGGGGGCUGGAACGGAUGUGGUGCUGAGCACAUUCAUAGCCAACGAGACUGAGGGAGAGAGGGGUGGGCCUGAUGGGGGAGUAGGAGUGGCUGGGAGCAAGGAGGCAGAGAAAUGGGAGGAGAAGGAGCCUCUGCUGUACAUUGAUGAGGGAGUGGAGGAGGGACAAGAGAGGAUGGCUCCUCCUUCACUUUCAAAAUCGAACCCAGAAAAGACAGGAGGGGAAAGAGGGGAGGGGGAAAAUGAAAAAGAAAUGGAGAGGGGAGAAGGGAAUGGAAAUAAAUCAAAUUAGAGUGAAAGAGGUAAGAAGAAUGGAGGAGCGGCAUUCUGUCUAACCACUGCAGUUUAAAAAUAGAAGAGAUUUACAUAAAAAGUUUUUCUAGGUGAUAAUGUAAAAGUUACUUUGUACUACUGAAAAGGCCUUUGACAUUGUAUGUAUCUGUGAUCGUGUGCUCUGUCAACAUAACUCAGGGAAGAUAGAAGUGGUUGUGUGUAUGGUCAUAAGUUUUACCCUUGGUAUUUUGUAUGCUGUUUUGUCUGAAUUUUUUUUUGUUUAAUAAAGUUUUAGAUGUG